rnacentral:lncRNA from 1 species
UUUUAGAGAAGGAUCGAAUUACAUUGUAAUUCCAAAUGAAUAGGUUCUCCGAACAACUUCUACAUUAGCUUGGGUAGCUAUGACAUAUGGUUAGAUGUCACUCAUAGCUUGUGAGUUUUUCUAGAUGAUUAAAUGUAGUCAUCAAAGAAGAAAGGUGAAUUAAAAUGAAGUUUUAAUUCACUAAGUGAUUGAAUUAAAUAUAAUCAAUUGGAUUGAUGCCAAUCACCUCAAUGCCUUGCUAAUUAGAACCUAAAAUGAUUGUACACCGAUACACUCUUGUAGUGAGUAAUUAAUGGAUGAUGGAAAUAAUUAAUUGGAUUAAUUAAGUGUUGUGAUUAAUUUAGAAAGUCUAAAGAAAUCAUAAAAGCGAUAAAGAUCAUUUUGGGCUUAAAGAAACGUUCGGGUUUAAUUGGGCCCAUUGGGCCUAAACCCAUUGGGCUUUUAUUCAAGCAUUGGAUGACUUGAAAUAAAUGAAAGCCCAAAGCCCAAACAACACAAAGAGGGCCGGCCACUUUAAGGUGAAGAGGGUGAGAUAUUUAGUCAAGUUGUUGACUAGGUUUCUUUUGUCUAUAUAAGGAACUUUAUAGAGAUAUUGUUCAUUAGGGUUUUUUGUGUGUUUAAAACAACAAAGAGGCAAAAGAAAAAUAGCUCUCUAACACUACAAAGGCCGGCCACCUUAGGGGUGUUUUUACUAACACAUUUUUCACCCUUUUGGUUAUUCCUCCAUCCAUCUCACUACACUAGUGGGUGUGGAUCUUUAGAGGUUUUCUACUUUGGAAACUUGGAGAGAACCUAGGAGCACUCUUAUUAACAAAGUGGAGGAGGCAAGGAGGGAGGCUAGGCUCAAGGACUUCAAGGAGCAAAGGGCUUGGAGGUGGUCCAUCCUUGGUCUAAAAUCAAGAUCAAGAGGUAUAGAUCUAUUCCUUGUCUUUGUUCUAAAGUUAAAUGUUUUGAUGCAUUAUAUAUAAACCUAUGAACCUUGAAGGGGAUUUGCAUGACUAUAGCUUUGAUAAUUUGUUAUAAAUGCUUCCGCUGCUUUCGUAUAUUAAAUUUGAUUUGUAUAUGCAUGUUAGUCAUUUUGAAAUCCCUAUAUGUGAAAACUCAUAAUUUUCCCUUCAUUAUGCAGUUCCUACCUUACAGUUAAGUUUUCGUUCGUUUCACUCAUUUUUCAAUGAGAAAUUCAGAAGUAAUCACAACUUGGCUCGUCUGCAUGCUUACAACAACUGAUCAUUCCUGCACUUCAAAAGAAGACUGCGCCCUUCUUAGGGACUCAUUGCAGGAAUUGCGCCCCCCGAGGGACCAACCAUGCUCUCCAGUGCGAGAGGGUAAAUCAAUUCCUCGACACCCAUAUGGGUCAGCUCUCCAAGACGGGAGGAUAAACUUUACACUCCGAAUAUCCAAACGUGGAUGAGCCUGGCUGCCCUAGUAUAACUAGAUGCACGAUGG